ACAAGACAUUCAAACAUGUACCCAAUUGAAGCACGGAUAUUAUUCUGGUGUGCUGAGACAUGCCAGUUGGUGUAGGUUCCCUAGAUCAAAACACCAAAACAUAUAAACCCGAAAGAUUAAAUAUGAUUCUGAGAGAGUGAAGUAUACAUGGUGGUAUCGUUCCAUGACGUAGACAUGUGGCCUUGUGCUAUGUGCACCGUCGGGACGAAUCAUGCAUGUUGGGAGGAUCUCGGUGGUCCGUUGAUGUGUUGUUUGGCUUGAGCAACCAUUCAGCACAAAAGAGUGAAAUACUCUUGACGACUGAGCUGGGCAGUCGAUGAAAAGGAUCUUGGUGGUCCUUUGAUGAGUGUUGUUUGGCCUGACGAACCAUUCAGCACAAAAGAGAGAAGUACUAUUGACGACUGAGAGGGCAGUCGAUGAAAAGGAUACUGGUGGUCCUUAGAUGAGUGUUGUUUGGCUUGGGCAACCAUUCAGCACAAAAGAGUGAAAUACUCUUGACGACUGAGCUGGACAGUCGAUAAUCGAGUGAUGGCUGAAACCGCGCAGUCAAUCAUUCAUAAAGAACUGUUGCUAAACUGAAACUUAAAGGAAUUGACGGAAGGCAGCAAUGCAUUAUAAUACUUUGACCGGGGUACCUAGCCUGUCAUAUGCUCUGAUGGUGUUCUCGUGACUUUUGUUGCCAGAUCUGCCAAGGGCGAUGGGAUAGUACGCGAUCUAAUGGUUGUGUGCAAGGUUUGAAGAAGGCUGUGUGCUAUAUGCAUGCGCCUCGCCCUGAUAAUGUUUACUUCAUUUUACACUGUUUAAGCGAUCCGGUUUGGCUUGCCAUUCACGGGUUUGCUGCUCCGCAUGCACCUGGCUUUAAGCUGGACUGCAUGUACGCUGGCCUGGUAGACUUGCGCCCGGGUUGCAGCCUCGAACCUUUAGUUCUAUGCAUCUGGGAAACCGGUGUGUAGGAUUAUUGGAGUA
rnacentral:misc_RNA from 1 species